rnacentral:snRNA from 1 species
GGAUGUGAGGGUGAUCUGGCUGCAACAUCUGUCACCCCAUUGAUCGCCAGGGUUGAGUCGGCUGAUCUGGAUGGGUAGGCGUGUGUCCCCUUCCUCCCUCACCGCUCCGUGUGUGUCCCUCCCAAAGCUGCGUGCUUGGUCGAAGAGGUUGACCUUCCCCCAUAGAGGACCGUUCUUUGGUCAAGGGUAUAUGAGUAGCUGUGCUUCCUUGCCAGAACCUCCAAACAAGCUCUCAAGGUCCCUUUGCAGGAGAAUACGGGGCGGUCAAGCUUCCAAGACUCCAGACCCAACCAAACACGGCGCUGCACGUGGCGUCUGCCUUGCUUU